AAUGCUAAAAGAAUGGAAGUUUAAGAAAAAACUUUUUUAAAAAUAAAAAUUAAAUUUUUUUUAAUUUGUGCAAAACCAAUUAUUUAUAUUAAAGACAAGAAGACCCUAUGAAUUUAUGAUUAAAUAAACUAAAAAUUUUUAGUUUAUUUAAUCUUGAUUGGGGCAAUCAAAAAAUAUUAAUAACUUUUUUAAAUUUAAAUGAUCUAUUAUUAAUAAUCUAAUGGAAUAAAUACUCUAGGGAUAACAGCGU
rnacentral:rRNA from 1 species